AGAAAAGCAGAGCAUCCCCAUCUUUCACUUUACCGCCAUUACUUUCCUCUGGUUCUUUAUCAUCGGUCCUAUCCUCUGGCUUUUCUCGCAGCUUUCCUUUGCUUGCUAUCAACCUGUGCCUCUUCGCUACUGUUGGAUUCUUCGCUACUGUGGUUGGCCGCUGGAAAUGGUGAAGACGUUCGUUCUGCUGUCGUUGUUCUCUGCUGUUUCAGCCCAUUGGAUUGAAACUUCCCUUUUCCUCUUCAGUGUGGUUCGUGAGUUGAAGGGUGUUAGCUCCACUGCACUUUGGUGGAGAUUAUUGGAGAAUAAGUGAAUUUUGUUAGCCCUUGACGUGCCAUAGUACACCUGGCUAGUAGAGUGCUUAUGGGAGGUGCUAGCCCUAUGCGCAAGCCAACGCAUGUGGAACGGAAGGAUGAUUAUCCAUAGUAUAGUUGACUCUACGACUUCGGCAGAUCAUUGAGAGGCCCUUUUGCCUUUUUAAAAAAGCAGAGGCAUAUUGCGAUUAUUGUUUUAGUAAAACUAUGUAUUGUAUUUUGUAAUCAUAACUUAGUACUCCACGUA